rnacentral:tRNA from 1 species
AGAGAUGUAGCUCAGUCGGUAGAGCAUUUGCCUGGCAUGCACAAAAUGCCUUGCAUGUCUA